CAACGUGAUUUUACUGUUCCAGUAAAUCAAAUUCAGUUUUUUUUUUUUGUUUUAUGCAACUUUUGAGAUUUUUUUUUGAAGGAAAAGCAAACAUAGGUUCUUGUUGUGUUAUUAAAAAAUGAAUUUUGAUUAUUUGCAUUCAAUCAUGAUAUGUCAUGGGGGGAGAUGAGAUUCUUCAGGUAUACCUAGGAACUUUGAUAUUGACGGGAUUAUGUAUGCUGCAAGUACAAA